rnacentral:lncRNA from 1 species
GGAGGUGAGGAACUCGGGUUCGGGGAGAGCGACGGGAGGAGCGAGGAGGAGCAGCGCCGCUGCACAGCCGCGGAGGGAGGCCGGUCCCCUCAACAAUCGCUAAGAAUCCUCCGGCCUAGUGAAGAAUGUCCUGCCAAAGAGUCACCCAGUUUCUACCAAGUGUCUCAUGUUCUCUCAGAAUGGCAUUAGAGGGAACAGAAGUGCAUCUUGACCCGUGUCUGUAUUCUGUGGAAAAUGAGAAGUCAGAGCACCAGGACCGUACGGGAGCUAGGGAGAAGGCCAAUGAAUCCACGCCCGGCUGAGUCCUUCAUGUUCACGCCUUAUUCAAACUCUACAGUUUAGUUUGGUCUGGAUUGGGUAAACAUCAUUUGAAGUCAUUUGCUCUGCAGAAGUUUGAGAAAUGUGACAACUGAGUUGUGUGGUUCAUCCUUUCACAGAAGCCACAGAUGCGUGUGUUUCAGCCUUGGCAGUGGAUUCUUUGGCAGUUGUGUGGCCCAGAGGGAACCAGACGCAGAGAAAAGUCAAGCCAGGCUCUUUCAGAUACAGGGGUAGCCGUUCAGAUUUCCAGUCCAAGUCCUGACUGCCAAGUGACGAUAUCACAGCAGAUCAAAUGGAAACAUGGCUCAGAGGGCCAAGGGUUCUUACACACAGAGGACUUGUGGACAGAACUGCCUCAGGACUGAGUGUUUUCCAAUGAUAGCUGCUUUCAGGCAGUCAACACUCUUAAGUAGGAGACAGGAUGAGAAGAAG